rnacentral:piRNA from 1 species
UGGCCCGCAGCCACAAUAAGGGUGUCCAUGGU